rnacentral:rRNA from 1 species
AGUGAACGCUGGCGGUAGGCCUAACACAUGCAAGUCGAACGGCAGCACAGUAAGAGCUUGCUCUUACGGGUGGCGAGUGGCGGACGGGUGAGGAAUACAUCGGAAUCUACUUUUUCGUGGGGGAUAACGUAGGGAAACUUACGCUCAUACCGCAUACGACCUACGGGUGAAAGCCGGGGAUCUUCGGACCUUGCGCGAUUGAAUGAGCCGAUGUCGGAUUAGCUAGUUGGCGGGGUAAAGGCCCACCAAGGCGACGAUCCGUAGCUGGUCUGAGAGGAUGAUCAGCCACACUGGAACUGAGACACGGUCCAGACUCCUACGGGAGGCAGCAGUGGGGAAUAUUGGACAAUGGGCGCAAGCCUGAUCCAGCUAUACCGCGUGGGUGAAGAAGGCCUUCGGGUUGUAAAGCCCUUUUGUUGGGAAAGAAAAGCAGCAGGUUAAUACCCCGCUGUUCUGACGGUACCCAAAGAAUAAGCACCGGCUAACUUCGUG